rnacentral:rRNA from 1 species
CCGCGGUAAUACGUAGGGUGCAAGCGUUAUCGGAAUACUGGGCGUAAAGCGUGCGCAGGCGGUCUUGUAAGACAGUGGUGAAAUCCCCGGGCUCAACCUGGGAACUGCCAUUGUGACUGCAAGGCUAGAGUGCGGCAGAGGGGGAUGGAAUUCCGCGUGUAGCAGUGAAAUGCGUAGAUGUGCGGAGGAACACCGACUGCGAAAGCGAUCCCCUUGGCCUGCACUGACGCUCAUGCACGAAAGCGUGGGGAGCAAACAGGAUUAGAUACCCU